rnacentral:rRNA from 1 species
UACGUAGGGUGCGAGCGUUGUCCGGAAUCACUGGGCGUAAAGCGUGCGCAGGCGGUCAUGAAAGUCAGGAGUGAAAUCCCAGGGCUUAACCUUGGAAUUGCUUUUGAAACUCCAUGACUAGAGUACUGGAGGGGUUGGCGGAAUUUCGAGUGUAGCAGUGAAAUGCGUAGAUAUUCGAAGGAACACCGAUGGCGUAGGCAGCCAACUAGACAGUAACUGACGCUCAUGCACGAAAGCGUGGGGAUCAAACAGG